GGUCUAAUAGUGUAGAGGUUAUCACACGGGAUUUUGAUCUAUCAACCCCAAGCCGUCUUCCCGUAACCCAGGUUCGAGUCCUGGUUAGACCU